rnacentral:rRNA from 1 species
AGUAACGCGUGGAUAACCUGCCUCACACUGGGGGAUAACAGUUAGAAAUGACUGCUAAUACCGCAUAAGCGCACAGUACCGCAUGGUACAGUGUGAAAAACUCCGGUGGUGUGAGAUGGAUCCGCGUCUGAUUAGCCAGUUGGCGGGGUAACGGCCCACCAAAGCGACGAUCGGUAGCCGGACUGAGAGGUUGAACGGCCACAUUGGGACUGAGACACGGCCCAG